rnacentral:rRNA from 1 species
UGAAUACGAGACGCUAAGGCGUCGAAGUAGUGUAUGUCAUGCUUCCAAGAAAAGCUUGCACUGUCAUAGAUAAAAAACGCCUGUACCAUAACCGACACAGGUGGGUAGGUAGAGUAUACUAAGGGGCGCGAGAUAACUCUCUCUAAGGAACUCGGCAAAAUAACUCCGUAACUUCGGGAGAAGGAGUGCCUUAUUCUUAAGGUUGCAAUAACAAGAUCCAAGCAACUGUUUAUCAAAAACACAGGUCUCCGCUAAGUCGUAAGACGAUGUAUGGGGGCUGACGCCUGCCCAGUGCCAGAAGGUUAAAGAAGUUGGUUAGCAUUUGCGAAGCUGAUAACUGAAGCCCUGGUGAACGGCGGCCGUAACAAUAACGGUCCUAAGGUAGCGAAAUUCCUUGUCGGGUAAGUUCCGACCCGCACGAAAGGCGUAAUGAUUUGGAUACUGUCUCGGAGAGGGGCUCGGUGAAAUAGACUUGUCUGUGAAGGUGCGGACUACCUGCACCAGGACAGAAAGACCCUAUGAAGCUUUACUGUAACUUGAAAUUGAAAUUGGACUUUAUUCGCGCAGCAUAGGUGGGAGGCGUUGAUUAUAAUCUCGUGGGAUUAUUGGAGCCAUCAGUGAGAUACCACUCUUGUAAUGUUAGAUUUCUAACUUUGAAUCAUUAUCUGGUCAAAGAACAGUUUCAGGCGGGCAGUUUGACUGGGGCGGUCGCCUCCUAAACGGUAACGGAGGCGUACAAAGGUUUCCUCUGAACGGUUAGAAAUCGUAUCUAGAGUGUAAAGGCAUAAGGAAGCUUGACUGUGAGACCUACAAGUCGAGCAGGGACGAAAGUCGGUCUUAGUGAUCUGACGGUACUGAGUGGAAAGGCCGUCACUCAACGGAUAAAAGUUACUCUAAGGAUAACAGGCUGAUCUCCCCCAAGAGUUCACAUCGACGGGGAGGUUUGGCACCUCGAUGUCGGCUCAUCGCAUCCUGGGGCGGUAGUACGUCCCAAGGGUUGGGCUGUUCGCCCAUGAAAGCGGUACGCGAGCUGGGUUCAGAACGUCGUGAGACAGUUCGGUCCAUAUCCGGUGUAGGCGUUAGAAUAUUGAGAGGAGCCUUCUUUAGUACGAGAGGACCGAGAAGGACAUACCUCUGGUGUACCAGUUAUCGUGCCAACGGUAAACGCUGGGUAGCUAUGUAUGGAGUGGAUAACCGCUGAAAGCAUCUAAGUGGGAAGCCCACCUCAAGAUAAGUAUUCUCA